UAGAUCGUGUCAGUUGACACGUUCUCCGUUUUUACGUCCGUGGGUAAAAAACUUGUUGUUAAGUAAUCAAUAUAUGUAACUAAUAAACGGAACACAAUAUAUGAAAAUCUAGAACUCAUUUGGAAAUUAAGGUGGGCUAAAGGUUCAGUGAUGGACCAACAGUGGACAAAUUAUGCUCGUCUUCGGUGCCGGUAUUGCCGUCAAUGGAGGCAUUCAAAUCAGUUGGCGCUGCAGCUACAUUUGUUGCUGAACCCUCGGCGAAUUCCGUGGCAUCACUUUGCACAAGCGAUUGUG